UGGCGCGCCACAGUACUGCAACGUUAUUCAGCUAACGACUUCAAACUCUAAUCCGUCUACAAAGACAACCAAUCAUGUCUGACAAACCAAACCUUGAAGAGGUCACCAGCUUUGACAAAAGCAAGCUGAAGAAGACUGAGACUAAGGAGAAAAACCCACUGCCAUCUAAAGAAACCAUUGAACAGGAGAAGCAGGCGGCCUCGUGAAGACACAA